GGCAAGUUUUCAUGCUUGUAAAAUGUUUGAUAAAUGUAAACAAAGCCGUCAAAGAUUGAGGAAAGAUGUACACGUUCGUAAGUGCUUGCGGAAGUGCUUCGUGAAUCUGGCCCCUGGUCAUCACAAGUCACAAACACUGUACACAACACUUAAGUCUCCUAAGUGCUAUACUACCCAACUGGAAGCAUGCAACUUACACAUGAAAUGGAGGUUAAGCUACUUCUAAUUUAGUUUAUUCCAGGCAGCAAGAUAUGUUGGAUUAACUUCUUUUUUUUUUUUUAUGCAUUGCAUCAUGCAAGAGAUGUUUUAAGGACAAAUGGUGUGGCCGUGUGUAUUCUCUGAUAUUACUCUCCUACUUGACACGGCAGCUCCUGACAAUAUUUUGAAUCCACACGUUGCUACAGGUAUCUGUUAUUCUCAGUUUUCCAGUAUUCAUUUAACCAUUAAAAGGUAAUUAUCAUCAUACGUUCAUUCCCAGUGUUAUGCGGUUAUCGUCCAGUCUGUUGUCUUGAUUUGCCACCCCGUAAAAAAUCCAGCCUCCUAACCUAACCAGAAACGUACGCACCCAAGGAAGCACCUAACCUAUCGAGCCCGACGCAUUAGAAAGUGUAGAUAUUUGCGAGCCGUUACCUUUCAUAGUUGGUUGCAUUUAUAACUUUGGUCACCAUAACAUGAAAAAUGAAACCUACGAGUUAAGAGGACAGGUUGUAUCAUCACGUGUCGAUUUGAGUUCUUAUCACCUGGUUUUAUACUAAUGAUGUAAAUAUGGUUAUAAUACAUCUUUAUAGAUGCAAUAGAGUUUACUUAGAGCCAUAAAGAAAUUCUAUAAUGUUUAAUUGUUUACUAUUGAUUAGAUUAUCUUGUACCACAAACCAUGUGAUUGUCAAAUGACAAUUUGGCAUUUGGUGAUGGUGUUUGUAUCUCUUGCUGGAUAACAGUACCAGACGGGAUAUCAGGAGAGGAGCGGGUUACAAGACACUUUGAUUUGUGUCAGGAACACAUGUAAAGUAUUCAACACCGUGUUGUUUUUGUCAAUUUUGUGUUAAUAAUUAGUUAUCCCAUACAUUAUAUAAACUAAAAUGAAACGGCAAACACACACACACACACACACACACACCCCCACCCACCCACUCCCUACCCCCACCCCACCCACACCCCACCCCACACCACUCCACCCAACCCCACCCACAUCUACCACAAUCAUCCCAGCUCUCCCCUCUACAUGGCGAGUCAACAAUAUUGCAUAACACGAGUACACUAAAUGAUCCUCAUAUUUGAUAUCCCUCUCAUAAUCAUGAACGAGAAAAAGGCAUAAUUUUUCUUUUCUUUCUUUCUAACCCUUGUUGCUCACAUUUCACUUCUUGCCUAUCUUUGCACCAAGUCAGUAUUUCAACGUGCUGACACAAUCAUCGUUCAUGUGUUAGUGAUGCACUCCUGUUUCUCUUGGUGUCCUUAUCCUGUAUCUGCUUUCCCACUGUGUCAUAGUUUAAUUUAUUGCAUUAAUUUGCUUAUAACAAUGAUUGUGGAGUUCAUCAAUUAAGUUUUUAACAAAUUUCCGAGCCAUAUUUGUGAUGGGUUGGACUAAUUGAGGGGUUAGAUAUGUGAUUAAAAAGUUAAAUUUAAUGAAGUAAAUAGUUAAUUGGUGUUAAGCAAACUCAGGCUUGCUACAUUUUUCUACAUUACCCCUAAAGCUACAAAACAUGCUCGUGAGCACUACUGGGAUUUUUGUGGUGUGUGGAUUGUUCUUGUGAAUGGUGAGACUUCUGGAACACUAGAUAAAGUCUGUGAACAUGUUGGAAAGGUGACCAUCAGAGUUCUGGAGAUAGCCUAUAUUUGAUUUGUAAAUUAAACUUUGUUACAGAUCGGCGGUUUAGGUCACCCAAACCUCGGUGAGAGAACCUUGACUUCCGUGCCCGUAUUGCUCCACGGGACAUUCGUGUUUGUUUAUCAGAGACAGCCAGUUGAGUCGUUGACCUACCUGGUGUGCCACAUAGUGCAGGUCGUACUGGUUCUUCCUGGCUGUUCAGGCACCAACAUGACAUAUAUCAUACACUUACGAAAACAUUUACAUACGAACAGUCGUAUACUGUCACACACACACACACACACACACACACACACACACACACACACACACACACACACACACACACACACACACACACACACACACACACACACACACACACACA
rnacentral:lncRNA from 1 species